AACGAACGCUGGCGGCAUGCCUAACACAUGCAAGUCGAACGAGAUCUUCGGGUCUAGUGGCGCACGGGUGCGUAGCGCGUGGGAAUCUGCCCUUUGGUUCGGAAUAACAGUUGGAAACGACUGCUAAUACCGGAUGAUGACGAAAGUCCAAAGAUUUAUCGCCAGAGGAUGAGCCCGCGUAGGAUUAGCUAGUUGGUGUGGUAAAGGCGCACCAAGGCGACGAUCCUUAGCUGGUCUGAGAGGAGGAUCAGCCACACUGGGACUGAGACACGGCCCAGACUCCUACGGGAGGCAGCAGUGGGGAAUAUUGGACAAUGGGCGAAAGCCUGAUCCAGCAAUGCCGCGUGAGUGAUGAAGGCCUUAGGGUUGUAAAGCUCUUUUACCCGGGAUGAUAAUGACAGUACCGGGAGAAUAAGCUCCGGCUAACUCCGUGCCAGCAGCCGCCGUAA
rnacentral:rRNA from 1 species